CCGCCGGCAGGCGCGUGCCCCAGGUCACACGUACACACACCUCCCAGCCGCAGGAGCGCAGCACGGACACUCAGCCACACCCCCCAGGCCUGGCCUUAAAACAGCCCCCCCGCCAUGCAAGCAUCUCUCCUAAAUGCACGACAGACACGCACCCUCCCACCGCUGCUCGGACUCACCUCCCCGUGCGCUCACACUCCUUCCACACACGUGCACUCAGCCCCCACCCCCAGCCACUCCUGCUCGUACAAGUGCGCCGCUGCAUGAUUGUCCCUGUGCCCCCAGCGUGCCCUGCCGGGCCGUCACACACCUCUCGGGGUGCAAUCACAGCCAGUCACUCACACCCCUCUGACACACACACACACAGCAUGCCUGCUGCAAGCCCUGCACUCACACCUUGCCACCCUGAGCACACUGGCACUCCCACAUGGCCACACACAUCCAGCCGUGUGCACACACAUCCUAUGCCCCACUGCUCACACACCACCUUCACACUCGUGCCAUGGACACCACCCCUCUUACACCCCCUGCCAACCAACCACAGCCUGCCAGGGCUGCUCACACUCACACGCCCCCCUCCGUUCCCAGACAAAUCCCCCUGCCACACGGCUGCCUCAUUCACACACACUGGACUCAUGUGUGCACACGCACAAUGCAGGACAUGCUCACCCGCUUGCACUCUGACAUGCACCACUGCGGCCUUGCACACUAGCCCUGCAGAGUCCUCCUGCACACGUGCUACAUGCUCACACCCGUGCAUUGCUUACACAUCUGCUGCUGCAAGUUCACAAGCACGUGCAUUCACCCCCCACACACACACAGCUGGUCACGCCUGCAGGCCAUGCAUUCACACACCAUUCUCACUGAUGCACACCACGGGCUCGCACACUUCCCCCCCACACGUCCCACAAACAUGCACACGCCUCCCUCCUCCCCCACAGGUGCUGGGCCACAGACACUCAAACGGCACCCACAGCUGCCAUAAACGUACCCGGGCAUGCACGAUUCCCCGGCUCUCACACACGCACCGACUUCUUGCACGCCAGGCAUAUUCCCAAAUGCUUCUCUCCCC
rnacentral:lncRNA from 1 species